GGGUACUUGGUCGAGUCUGGUUUAUGGCACUCGUCUUGAAAACGAGAACUUUUUUAGUCGUGAGUUCAAAUCUCACAGUGCCCG
rnacentral:tRNA from 1 species